ensembl:miRNA
CUGGACUGUCCCUCCAGGCGCAGGGCAGCCACUGCCCACCGCACACUGCGCUGCUCCGGACCCACUGUGCGUGUGACAGCGGCUGAUCUGUCUCUGGGCAGCGCGAAAC